GGGAAAGAAAUCGUUAAGGGCGCACGGCGGAUGCCUAGGCUUCAAGAGGCGACGAAGGACGUGGCAAGCUGCGAAAAGCCGCGGGGAUCGGCACACACGAAUUGAUCCGCGGAUAUCCGAAUGGGGCAACCCGGCACGCUGAAGGCGUGUCACCAGCAAUGGGGCGAACCCGGGGAACUGAAACAUCUAAGUACCCGGAGGAAAAGAAAUCGAAGAGAUUCCGUGAGUAGUGGCGAGCGAAAGCGGACUAGCCCAAAAGCCUUGAUAUGCUUAGCGGAACGCUCUGGAAAGGGCGAUCGGAGAAGGUGACAAUCCUGUACGCGAAAGGCAUGUCGGGGUGAAACAAGAGUAGGGCGGGACACGUGAAAUCCUGUCUGAAUACGGGGGGACCAUCCUCCAAGGCUAAAUACUCCUUGAAGACCGAUAGUGGACCAGUACCGUGAGGGAAAGGUGAAAAGCACUCCGAACAGGAGGGUGAAAGAGAGCCUGAAACCGUGCGCCUACAAGCGGUCGGAGUCCCGCGAUGGGAUGACGGCGUGCCUUUUGCAUAAUGAGCCUACGAGUUAAUGUCGCCGGCGAGGUUAAGCGCUUAAGGCGCGGAGCCGGAGCGAAAGCGAGUCUGAACAGGGCGCGUAGUCGGCGGUAUUAGACGCGAAACCUUGUGAUCUACCCAUGGGCAGGCUGAAGCUCUGGUAACACAGAGUGGAGGGCCGAACCGGUUGGCGUUGAAAAGCCUUCGGAUGACCUGUGGGUAGGGGUGAAAGGCUAAUCAAACUGGGAGAUAGCUCGUACUCCCCGAAAUGCAUUUAGGUGCAGCGUCGCGCGAGUCCUCCGGAGGUAGAGCUACUGAUUGGAUGCGGGGGUUUCACCGCCUACCAAUUCCUGACAAACUCCGAAUGCCGGUGGAUGCUGCGCGGCAGUGAGGGCGCGGGUGCUAAGGUCCGCGUCCGAGAGGGAAAGAACCCGGACCAACGGCUAAGGUCCCCAAAUGCGCGCUAAGUUGGAGAAACGCGGUCGGACUGCACAGACAGCUAGGAUGUUGGCUUGGAAGCAGCCAUUCAUUUAAAGAGUGCGUAACAGCUCACUAGUCGAGCGGUCCGGCAUGGAUAAUAAUCGGGCAUAAGCGCGCUACCGAAGCCAUGGGAUAUAUUAUAUCGGUAGGGGAGCAUUCCGGCGGCCUGGAAGCCGCGCCGCGAGGCGCGGUGGAGCUUCCGGAAAAGAAAAUGUAGGCAUAAGUAACGAUAAUGCGGGCGAGAAACCCGCACACCGAAAGACCAAGGCUUCCCCGGCCAUGCUAAUCAGCCGGGGGUUAGUCGGGGCCUAACGCGAACCCGAAGGGGGUAGCGGAUGGACACAGGGUUAAUAUUCCCUGACCCGCCCACACUGGAAGUGACGGUUCUCCGUAGCUGCUGGAGACUGACGGAAUAGUCAAGGCCUAGCCUUCGGGCGAAGCUGCUGCAGCGAAGGGGGAUCCAAGAAAAGCGAGUGAGGCGGCCCGUACCAAAACCGACACAGGUGGUCGAGGAGAGGAUCCUAAGGUGCUCGAGUGAGUCGUGGCUAAGGAACUAGGCAAAAUUGUCUCGUAACUUCGGAAAAAGAGACGCCCCCGGCGACGGGGGCCGCAGUGAAGAGGCCCAGGCGACUGUUUAUCAAAAACACAGGACUCUGCCAAAUCGAAAGAUGACGUAUAGGGUCUGACACCUGCCCGGUGCCGGAAGGUUAAGGGAGGCGCUUAGAGCAAUCGAAGGCGCUGACUGAAGCCCCGGUAAACGGCGGCCGUAACUAUAACGGUCCUAAGGUAGCGAAAUUCCUUGUCGGGUAAGUUCCGACCUGCACGAAUGGUGUAACGAUCUGGGCACUGUCUCGGCCACGAGCUCGGUGAAAUUGUAGUAUCGGUGAAGAUGCCGAUUACCCGCAGUGGGACGAAAAGACCCUGUGAACCUUUACUAUAGCUUCGUGUUGACUCUGAGCAAUCAAUGUGUAGGAUAGGUGGGAGGCUAUGAAGCGGGCACGCCAGUGUCUGUGGAGCCGCCGUUGAAAUACCACCCUUUGCUUGCUUGGAGCCUAACUCCGGAAGGAGGACACCGCGUGGCGGGUAGUUUGACUGGGGUGGUCGCCUCCAAAAGGGUAACGGAGGCUUUCAAAGGUACCCUCAGCACGCUUGGUAACCGUGCGCAGAGUGUAAUGGCAUAAGGGUGCUUGACUGCGAGGCCAACAAGCCGACCAGGUGCGAAAGCAGGACAUAGUGAUCCGGUGGUUCCGUAUGGAAGGGCCAUCGCUCAUAGGAUAAAAGGUACUCCGGGGAUAACAGGCUAGUCUCCCCCAAGAGCUCACAUCGACGGGGAGGUUCGGCACCUCGAUGUCGGCUCGUCGCAUCCUGGGGCUGGAGAAGGUCCCAAGGGUUGGGCUGUUCGCCCAUUAAAGCGGCACGCGAGCUGGGUUCAGAACGUCGUGAGACAGUUCGGUCUCUAUCUACUGCGGGCGUUAGACGCUUGAGGGGGCUUGGGUCUAGUACGAGAGGACCGGCCUGAACAGACCUCUGGUGUACCAGUUGUGCCGCCAGGCGCACCGCUGGGUAGCUAUGUCUGGUUCGGAUAAGCGCUGAAGGCAUAUAAGCGCGAAACCUGCCCCGAGAUUAGGCGUCUUUUAAGGGUCGUGGAAGAUGACCACGUCGAUAGGCCGCAGGUGCACACCUGGCAACAGGUCAGCCGAGCGGUACUAAUUGCCCGUAGAUUUAUGG
rnacentral:rRNA from 1 species